GUGGACACGGAACCCUGAGGGACGCGUCCGCCUCCUCCUCCUGCCUUGCACGUCCGCUCCCCGUCCGCCUCACGGCACAGACCGCCGGCCCGGUCGCGAGCAGCGAAGGUGGAGGCUGAUCCGGGCCGUGCUCGGCGCAAAGGAACCGCCGUGUGGGGCGGCGGCUCGUGCGCGGACACAGCGGGGCCGGUGCGAGCAGCGGUUGUCAGGAGCGGCCGUGGGAACCUGCCAGGGAAACGGGCAGGCAGAGCCUGCGAUAUCCCUGUGCAGCCCCGGCAGUUUCCACGUGUGUUGAUCGGCUGGGCUGGGUACUGUCGUGGCUGAGGAUUGAUGGUCUCUGUCAAAACGCCUAGUGGCUGCUGAGGCGUUGAUGAACCCGCUCCGGGGUUUAUAGGUCACUGCAGAAAAAGCAGGAACACAAUGUUGCCAAAAUAGGUUCUUGCACCCGGUGAACUAGAAGCCAAUCCACACAUAGAGUCGAGUCUUUUUGGAAAAUAAGUACCAGGAGCCUUGGAGAAUCAAGAAUCCUGAAGAGGCAUUACCUUGACACCUGACAUGUCUAUUUUGUGAUGUGCAGAGCUCUGAGGACAGAGGCCUUUUUCCACUAAAAGAAAAAAAGGUAAAGUUGGAGCACAGCCAACAGAAAGUAGUCUCUUCUGACUUAAAUGUAUUAAUUAUCUGUUAAAUACAACAAAAUGGCCGGAGACUGAGGAGGGAAAAGGA